rnacentral:rRNA from 1 species
GAUGAACGCUGGCGGCGUGCCUAAUACAUGCAAGUCGAGCGAACGGACGAGAAGCUUGCUUCUCUGAUGUUAGCGGCGGACGGGUGAGUAACACGUGGAUAACCUACCUAUAAGACUGGGAUAACUUCGGGAAACCGUAGCUAAUACCGGAUAAUAUUUUGAACCGCAUGGUUCAAAAGUGAAAGACGGUCUUGCUGUCACUUAUAGAUGGAUCCGCGCUGCAUUAGCUAGUUGGUAAGGUAACGGCUUACCAAGGCAACGAUGCAUAGCCGACCUGAGAGGGUGAUCGGCCACACUGGAACUGAGACACGGUCCAGACUCCUACGGGAGGCAGCAGUAGGGAAUCUUCCGCAAUGGGCGAAAGCCUGACGGAGCAACGCCGCGUGAGUGAUGAAGGUCUUCGGAUCGUAAAACGCUGUUAUUAGGGAAGAACAUAUGUGUAAGUAACUGUGCACAUCUUGACGGUACCUAAUCAGAAAGCCACGGCUAACUACGU